UUCUGCUAACUGCGAGGUGUGAAAUAAAUGGGUGCUCUAUUUAUAGGUAAACUUCCUGUGACCCAUGGAAAAACAUUCUUUUGUUUCCCCUUAUAUUUUUUGCCUGUUUAAAAUAUCAAGAAAACUAUUUUUUAUUUUUUUAUUUUUUUAGGCUGUUAAAGAUUUCAACCUGUUACAUAACUAUGCACUAGUUGGAAAUUCUUUAAAUUAUCACCAAGAAAAUUCCUGUGUAAGGUUGCACCAAGUAGUUCAGAACACCUGUUAACCUGAAAAUGUUAUACACAUUUCUCGUGACUUUAUCAUCUUUUUCAUUUCUCAUGCAAACAGCAGCUGCUGCUUGGAAGGACAGCCUUGAGAAGCCAGCAGGAGCAGAAACAGCCACAUCGCCAAUGGUCCUAAUCCAGUAUGCAACAGUAUUUAAGCUUUGGCAGGACAUCAGUGGUUAGCUGUUGCCUUGAAGGAGCCUUCCUGAACAAAUUUACUGUGAAACAGCAGCACCUUUUUCCUCUGCAACAAAAUGAAAACAGCAAUUAUACCACAGAUGGGAA
rnacentral:lncRNA from 1 species